UUCCUGCGAUCCACUCUUGACGCGGCCGGGUCGGGAAUGCGGUCUGCGCAUGCGGAUAAUGUGAGUGCUGUCCCAAUUUUAACUGCGAGGUCAAUGUGCCAACUUUGCUUCCUUUUGGGUUGGGUCACUUACUGUUCUUUACUGUAACACUUGUUUUGCACCUAUUUCAUUUAAAUAUCAGUUAUUUGCCUCAUCUAAAUUCAUUUCAUCUGAAAAGUGCCUUAAUUUGGGGAUAUUUUGAAUUGAAAAUGGACGCUUCCGCCAAGAUUUGGUACAAGGGGAGGUCACCAACACACGGAAGCCAACAGGAAGAUCAAAGCUUCACUCCGAGGAUACGAUUAAAAGAGAUAUGACGUAUGUUAAAAUUGGCACUGACAAUUGGGAAACUGCUGCUGAGUUCAUCAUAGGCUGCCCCUCAGGGCCAAGGAUGACAUUCCUCCACACCGGUACUUUGUGUUCUGAGUUAACUUAUGAAGCCAAUGAGGAACACACAGAGUUUUUAAGAAGGAACUGCAGAUGCUGGAAAAUCGAAGGUACACAAAAAAGCUGGAGAAACUUAGCGGGUGCAGCAGCAUCUAUGGAGCGAAGGAAAAAGGCAACGUUUCGGGCCGAAACCCUUCUUCAGACUCUUCUUCAGAGGAACACACAGACUCUGAUACAGGAAGAACUGUAGUUGCUUGGCCGGGCAGGUGGGUGGAUAGUUUGGUAAGUGCAUUACUUUCACCAUUUACACAUUUUCCUGCCAAAGGGAUUCUGAAAAGCCAGUCCAAAUGACCCUUCUCUGUUUGGUGUAUUCAUGAGCCAGUGUUGCCUGAAGUGGGUGGGGGGGUGCAACAUAUUUUCAUGGAGGCUUUGAGAACAUCCUUGAAUAUUUUGCUCCUGGACACACGCCCGCUCGUAUGCCUAGCCACACUCCUGGACAUCAAGUUAUCAUGUGUUCAUCCACCAAAAGACCCAUCUCUGAAUAUCUUUCUCCCAAUCCUCGUACAAAUGGAUUCUAGUGCAAGGCUUUUAGGGAAAUGGCAAUAGUAGAUUUGGUUUUGCCAUUCAUAUGUCAACAGUUUAUGUGCUUUAUUGGACUAGCCUGGAUGAUGCACUAUGCUGGAAUAAAUUGUUACAUCUUGUGGAGAGAAAAUGUUUCAAGCGUGUGUUGCAUUUAGUGAUCUUCAACAAGCAAUUAUGUCUCUCUUUAAGACAUAGACACAAUUGCUGGAGUAACUCAGCGGGGGAGGCAGCAUCCCUGGAAAGAAGGAUUGGUUGAUGUUUUGGGUCGAGACACUUCUUCAGACUGAUGUCAGGGGAGGGGGCGGGACAAAGAUAGAAUGUAGGCGGAGAGAAAGCAAGGACUAUCUGAAGUUAGAGAAGUCAACGUUCAUACCGCUGGGGUGUAAACUACCCAAGCGAAUAUGGCUAUCUGGACUACACUUUUUCCCACCUUGCUUCCUGUAAGAACUUUAUCCCCUACUCCCAAUUCCUCCGCCUACGCCGCAUCUGCACUCAGCAUGAGGUGUUUCAAACCAGGGCAUUGGAGAUAACCUCAUUCUUUAGGGAACACGAGUUCCCCUCUUCGACUAUAGAUGAGGCUCUCACCAGGGUCUCCUCUAUAUCCCGUAGCUCCGCUCUCACUUCUCAUACCCCCACUCAUAACAAGUCCGCCUUGUCCCCACCUUCCACCCUCCCAGCCGUCUAUACAACAGCUAAUCCUUCGACAUU